UCGGGUUGUCAUGCCAAUGGCACUGCCCGGUAGCUAAAAGCGGAAGAGAUGAGUGCUGAAAGCAUCUAAGCACGAAACUUGCCCCGAGAUGAGUUCUCACUGAGACUUAAAGGCUGCUGAAGGAACGUAGAAGACGACGACGUUGAUAGGCCGGGUGUGUAAGCGCAGCGAUGCGUUGAGCUAACCGGUACUAAUGAACCGUGAGGCUUAACCUUACAACGCCGAAG
rnacentral:rRNA from 1 species